AUUGAACGCUGGCGGCAUGCUUUACACAUGCAAGUCGAACGGUAACAGGCCGCAAGGUGCUGACGAGUGGCGAACGGGUGAGUAAUGCAUCGGAACGUGCCCAGUCGUGGGGGAUAACGCAGCGAAAGCUGCGCUAAUACCGCAUACGAUCUAUGGAUGAAAGCGGGGGACCGUAAGGCCUCGCGCGAUUGGAGCGGCCGAUGUCAGAUUAGGUAGUUGGUGGGGUAAAGGAUCACCAAGCAAACGAUCUGUAGCUGGUCUGAGAGGACGACCAGCCACACUGGGACUGAGACACGGCCCAGACUCCUACGGGAGGCAGCAGUGGGGAAUUUUGGACAAUGGGCGCAAGCCUGAUCCAGCAAUGCCGCGUGCAGGAAGAAGGCCUUCGGGUUGUAAACUGCUUUUGUACGGAACGAAACGGUCCUGGUUAAUACCUGGGGCUAAUGACGGUACCGUAAGAAUAAGCACCGGCUAACUACGUGCCAGCCGCCGCCGUAAGAC
rnacentral:rRNA from 1 species